rnacentral:rRNA from 1 species
GAUGAACGCUGGCGGCGUGCUUAACACAUGCAAGUCGAACGGAAAGGCCCAAGCUUGCUUGGGUACUCGAGUGGCGAACGGGUGAGUAACACGUGGGUGAUCUGCCCUGCACUUCGGGAUAAGCCUGGGAAACUGGGUCUAAUACCGGAUAGGACCACUUCUUGGAUGUUGUGGUGGACAGUUUUUUCGGUGUGGGAUGAGCUCGCGGCCUAUCAGCUUGUUGGUGGGGUAAUGGCCUACCAAGGCGUCGACGGGUAGCCGGCCUGAGAGGGUGUACGGCCACAUUGGGACUGAGAUACGGCCCAGACUCCUACGGGAGGCAGCAGUGGGGAAUAUUGCACAAUGGGCGCAAGCCUGAUGCAGCGACGCCGCGUGGGGGAUGACGGCCUUCGGGUUGUAAACUCCGUUCGCUAGGGACGAAGCGUUUUGUGACGGUACCUGGAGAAGAAGCACCGGCUAACUACGUG